rnacentral:rRNA from 1 species
GAUGAACGCUGGCGGCGUGCCUAAUACAUGCAAGUCGAGCGAACGGACGAGAAGCUUGCUUCUCUGAUGUUAGCGGCGGCCGGGUGAGUAACCCGUGGAUAACCUCCCUUUAAGACUGGGAUAACUUCGGGAAACCGGAGCUAUUACCGGAUAAUAUUUUGAACCCCAUGGUUCAAAAGUGAAAGAGGGCUUUCCUGUCCCUUAUAGAUGGUUCCGCGCGGCAUUAGCUAGUUGGUAAGGUAACGGCUUACCAAGGCAACGAUGCAUAGCCGACCUGAGAGGGUGAUCGGCCACACUGGAACUGAGACACGGUCCAGACUCCUACGGGAGGCAGCAGUAGGGAAUCUUCCGCAAUGGGCGAAAGCCUGACGGAGCAACGCCGCGUGAGUGAUGAAGGUCUUCGGAUCGUAAAACUCUGUUAUUAGGGAAGAACAUAUGUGUAAGUAACUGUGCACAUCUUGACGGUACCUAAUCAGAAAGCCACGGCUAACUACGUG